rnacentral:rRNA from 1 species
UACGGGGGGGGCAAGCGUUGUUCGGAAUUACUGGGCGUAAAGGGUUCGUAGGUGGCCUGCUAAGUCAGACGUGAAAUCCCUCAGCUUAACUGGGGAACUGCGUCUGAGACUGGUGGGCUUGAGUGCAGGAGAGGAACGCGGAAUUCCAGGUGUAGCGGUGAAAUGCGUAGAUAUCUGGAGGAACACCGGUGGCGAAGGCGGCAUCCUGGACCGAGAUUGACGCUGAGGCGCGAAAGCUAGGGGAGCAAACGGG